AAUAAGACUUUAAUUGAGUGCUAAAAGAAUGGAUUUUCAGAAAAUUUCUUUUUUAAAAUUAAUAAUUUAAUUUAUUUUUGUAUGUGAAGAAACAACAAUAAAAAUUAAGGACAAGAAGACCCUAAGAAUUUUUAAAAAAUAAUUUUAAAUUUAAAAUUAUUUUUUUUAAUUGGGGCGAUUAAUAAAUAUAAUUAACUUUAUUUUAAAUAAAUAUGAACCAUUAUUAAUGGUUAAAUGAAUAAAAUACUCUAGGGAUAACAGCGUAAUAAUUUUUGAUAGUUCCUAUAGACAAAAUAGUUUGCGACCUCGAUGUUGGAUUAGGAUUCUUAUUUAAUGAAGAAGUUAAAAAAAGAAGUUUGUUCAACUUUUAAAUUCCUACUUGAUCUGAGUUCAGACCG
rnacentral:rRNA from 1 species